GAAAGAAAGAGAGAAUCGAAUAAAUCUGUCACCAUCGUGCAUGCAUCUUCUUGUUCUUCUUUGCAUUCCUUCCUUCCUUCCUUCCUUUC
rnacentral:ribozyme from 1 species